rnacentral:rRNA from 1 species
AGAUUGAACGCUGGCGGCAUGCCUAACACAUGCAAGUCGAACGGGAGUAGCAAUACUCUAGUGGCGGACGGGUGAGGAAUACGUAGGAAUUUGCCCUUAAGUGGGGGAUAACCCGGGGAAACCCGGAUUAAUACCGCAUGACCUCGAAAGAGCAAAGUGGGGGAUCGCAAGACCUCACGCUUUUGGAGAAGCCUACGUCGGAUUAGCUAGUUGGUGAGGUAAUGGCUCACCAAGGCGACGAUCCGUAAACUGGUCUGAGAGGAUGAUCAGUCACACCGGAACUGAGACACGGUCCGGACUCCUACGGGAGGCAGCAGUGGGGAAUAUUGGACAAUGGGCGCAAGCCUGAUCCAGCAAUGCCGCGUGUGUGAAGAAGGCCUUCGGUUGUAAGCACUUUAAGUUAGGGAAGAAAAACUCGACUACUAACACAGUACGAGUCUUGACGGUUACCGAACGAGAAUAAGACACCGGCUAACUCUAGUGCCAGCCAGCCGCGGUAACUCGUCGACGCGGCGUGGACG